rnacentral:rRNA from 1 species
GACAGAGGGUGCUAGCGUUGUUCGGAAUUACUGGGCGUAAAGCGUGUGUAGGUGGCUGCGAAAGUCGGAUGUGAAAGCCCCGGGCUCAACCCGGGAAGUGCACUCGAAACUGGAAGGCUAGAGUAUCGGAGAGGUUGGUGGAAUUCUCGGUGUAGAGGUGAAAUUCGUAGAUAUCGAGAGGAACACCGGUGGCGAAGGCGGCCAACUGGACGAAUACUGACGCUGAGACUCGAAGACGUGGGGAGCAAACAGG